rnacentral:rRNA from 1 species
GACGAACGCUGGCGGCGUGCCUAAUACAUGCAAGUAGGACGCAGUUGCGAACGGGGGAGUAACGCGUAGGUAACUGCCUCUUAGAGGGGUAUAACUAUUGGAAACGAUAGCUAAUACCGCAUACUUGUAGAUGGACUUGCGUUGUAUUAGCUAGUAGGUAGGGUAAUGGCCUACCUAGGCGACGAUACAUAGCCGACCUGAGAGGGUGAUCGGGCAAACUGGGACUGAGACACGGGCCAGACUCCUACGGGAGGCAGCAGUAGGGAAUCAUCGGCAAUGGGGGGAAACCUGACCGAGCAACGCCGCGGGAGUGAAGAAGGUUUUCGGAUCGUAAAGCUCUGUUGUUAAGGAAGCGGUACUUAACCAGAAAGGGACGGCUAACUACGUGCCAGCCGCCGCGGUAAUAC